AGUCGAGCGGUAACAGGGGGUGCUUGCACCCCGCUGACGAGCGGCGGACGGGUGAGUAAUGCAUAGGAAUCUGCCCGAUAGUGGGGGAUAACCUGGGGAAACCCAGGCUAAUACCGCAUACGUCCUACGGGAGAAAGGGGGCUCCGGCUCCCGCUAUGGGAUGAGCCUAUGUCGGAUUAGCUAGUUGGUGAGGUAACGGCUCACCAAGGCCACGAUCCGUAGCUGGUCUGAGAGGAUGAUCAGCCACAUCGGGACUGAGACACGGCCCGAACUCCUACGGGAGGCAGCAGUGGGGAAUAUUGGACAAUGGGCGAAAGCCUGAUCCAGCCAUGCCGCGUGUGUGAAGAAGGCCCUCGGGUUGUAAAGCACUUUCAGCGAGGAAGAACGCCUAGCGGUUAAUACCCGCUAGGAAAGACAUCACUCGCAGAAGAAGCACCGGCUAACUCCGUGCCAGCAGCCGCGGUAAUACGGAGGGUGCGAGCGUUAAUCGGAAUUACUGGGCGUAAAGCGCGCGUAGGUGGCUUGAUAAGCCGGUUGUGAAAGCCCCGGGCUCAACCUGGGAACGGCAUCCGGAACUGUCAAGCUAGAGUGCAGGAGAGGAAGGUAGAAUUCCCGGUGUAGCGGUGAAAUGCGUAGAGAUCGGGAGGAAUACCAGUGGCGAAGGCGGCCUUCUGGACUGACACUGACACUGAGGUGCGAAAGCGUGGGUAGCAAACAGGAUUAGAUACCCUGGUAGUCCACGCCGUANACGAUGUCGACCAGCCGUUGGGUGCCUAGCGCACUUUGUGGCGAAGUUAACGCGAUAAGUCGACCGCCUGGGGAGUACGGCCGNCAGGUUAAAACUCAAAUGAAUUGACGGGGGCCCGCACAAGCGGUGGAGCAUGUGGUUUAAUUCGAUGCAACGCGAAGAACCUUACCUACUCUUGAC
rnacentral:rRNA from 1 species